rnacentral:rRNA from 1 species
AGAGUUUGAUCAUGGCUCAAGACGAACGCUGGCGGCGUGCUUAACACAUGCAAGUCGAGCGAUGAGAUCACUUCGGUGAAGGAUUAGCGGCGAACGGGUGAGGAACACGUGAAGAAUCUGCCUUCAACUCUGGGAUAACUCCGGGAAACCGGGGCUAAUACCGGAUAUGAGCCUUGAUCGCAUGAUCGGGGCUGGAAAGUUUUUCGGUUGAAGAUGACUUCGCGGCCUAUCAGCUUGUUGGUGAGGUAAUGGCUCACCAAGGCGACGACGGGUAGCCNGCCUGAGANGGCNACCGGCCACACUGGGACUGUGACACGGCCCANACUCCUACGGGGGGCAGCAGUGGGGAAUAUUUAGCAAUGGAC